rnacentral:rRNA from 1 species
AGGGUGCAAGCGUUAUCCGGAUUCACUGGGUUUAAAGGUAGCGUAGGCGGGCUGGUAAGUCAGUGGUGAAAGCCUUGAGCUUAACUCGAGAACUGCCAUUGAUACUAUCAGUCUUGAAUAUUGUUGAGGUUUGCGGAAUGGGUCAUGUAGCGGUGAAAUGCAUAGAUAUGACCCGGAACACCUAUUGCGAAGGCAGCAGGCUAAACAAAGAUUGACGCUGAGGCUCGAAAGCGUGGGGAUCAAACAGG